UACGUAGGGUGCGAGCGUUGUCCGGAAUUAUUGGGCGUAAAGGGCUCGUAGGCGGUUUGUCACGUCGGGAGUGAAAACUCAGGGCUUAACCCUGAGCCUGCUUCCGAUACGGGCAGACUAGAGGUAUGCAGGGGAGAACGGAAUUCCUGGUGUAGCGGUGAAAUGCGCAGAUAUCAGGAGGAACACCGGUGGCGAAGGCGGUUCUCUGGGCAUUACCUGACGCUGAGGCGCGAAGGCGUGGGGGAGCGAACGGG
rnacentral:rRNA from 1 species